CGCUCUAAAAUAGUGGAUCCCCCGGGCUGCAGCCCAAUGUGGAAUUCGCCCUUUAACGGGGGCGCGGCGGGCGGGGCGGGGGCACGGGGGGCUUACGGGAGGCAGCAGUGGGGAAUAUUGCACAAUGGGCGCAAGCCUGAUGCAGCGACGCCGCGUGAGGGAUGGAGGCCUUCGGGUUGUAAACCUCUUUUGUUU
rnacentral:rRNA from 1 species